AAGAGUAACUGAAAUAAAGGUGGAGAAGGGAUGGUGCAGUGUUUCCUGCUCAAACUGGGCCAAGAAACUUUAGCGCACAGUAUCAUCUUUCACAUGUCUUCCUUGCAACAAUACCAGUGCAGUUGGUGUCCUCCGGUACGGUGUGGAGAUGUCCGUUGCAGAUGAAACUGGUAAAGCUUUGUUUGUCUGUUUCGAUGAGGUAAUGACCAAACUUCACAACAUGAGGGCCUUUGAAGCUGAUCAUCUUUUGGCUGGUGAUGGUGUCAACCCAGAGGAAACACAGGCCCCGCCGUUUGUGUGAGACAUGGUUGGUAAGACCUACACAUUCCAGGUGAGGGUGAGUUCACUUAAAUUCACAGCGAAUCAUCAGACCUUUACUGUCUCGCGCAUCCUCAGUGAGCGUGACCGUGUGCUGCAGCCUGCAUUUGUUGAUAAUCUAAGGUUUAUAGAAUGUAAGGUUCAUAGAUUUUUCCAGAUACGUGGCUGUUCGGUAUAAAGAUAUAUAUGACUUUUUUUAUCAGAUAGGGAGGCGACGUUUACAAUGGAGAUGACAACCCCGAUGCCAUCACAGUGCCUUUUAAGGUGGAAACUGGUGGACCUAGCCAGGCGCAGGUAGCAUCGGAGAAGGUGAAGAAACCACGCAAGACAUAGGUGAAGAGGAUUGGAGUACAAGACGCAGUUUUUCCUGUGUUUUUUU